UAAUACAGAGGGUGCGAGCGUUAAUCGGAAUUACUGGGCGUAAAGGGUGCGUAGGUGGUCACUUAAGUUAGAUGUGAAAUCCCUGGGCUUAACCUAGGAAUGGCAUUUAAGACUGAGUGGCUAGAGUUUGGUAGAGGGAAGUGGAAUUUCCGGUGUAGCGGUGAAAUGCGUAGAUAUCGGAAGGAACAUCAGUGGCGAAGGCGACUUCCUGGACCGAUACUGACACUGAGGCACGAAAGCGUGGGGAGCGAACAGG
rnacentral:rRNA from 1 species